rnacentral:rRNA from 1 species
UACGGAAGGCAGCAGUGGGGAAUAUUGCACAAUGGGCGCAAGCCUGAUGCAGCCAUGCCGCGUGUAUGAAGAAGGCCUUCGGGUUGUAAAGUACUUUCAGUCGUGAGGAAGGUGUUAAGGUUAAUAACCUUAGCAAUUGACGUUAGCGACAGAAGAAGCACCGGCUAACUCCGUGCCAGCAGCCGCGGUAAUACGGAGGGUGCGAGCGUUAAUCGGAAUUACUGGGCGUAAAGGGCACGCAGGCGGUUAAUUAAGUUGGAUGUGAAAUCCCUGGGCUUAACCUGGGAAUGGCAUUCAAGACUGGUUAGCUAGAGUCUUGUAGAGGGGGUUAGAAUUCCAUGUGUAGCGGUGAAAUGCGUAGAGAUGUGGAGGAAUACCGGGUGGCGAAGGCGGGCCCCUGGGACAAAGACUGACGCUCAUGUGCGAAAGCGUGGGGAGCAAACAGGGAUUAGGAUACC